GGAGAUGGUGAGAAGCCAUGAGAGAAGGGAAGACACAAACCGAGUUCAAGAAGAAGUCCAAGAAGAGUGCUGAAGUGAAGAGGCCGUGAUCCAGAGCCUAUGUGCCUAAACCUAGGUGAUACUAAGGCACAUAGGCUCACUGGCCAAUCCCCAGGCCUUGUUGGCUCUACUAUUUUUCCCUCAUCAAGGUUUUGUCCCAAAGGGUUUUCUUUGGUGAGGUUUUUAAUGAGGGAGUUCUUCAAGGUUCCAAGCUUGACUUAGGAUCGCCUAUAGUCAAGCUUGAGGGGGAGUGUUGACUUGAAGAAAGAAAUGGAGCCAAAGGAGGAGUUGGUUGAGUUUGGGUCUUGAUGAAGGAUAGGGCAAGAUCUUCAGAGAUUGUCUGUCAAGGCUUCAGGAGUGUUUAAAGAAGUCUUGAAGUGUCCUGAAGUCAGUGCAAAGAUAGGGUCAAGUCCAGGAGGGACUUAGACACCAUCUAGAGUAGUUUGGGCGAUGGUGCAAAGUUAGGGCGAGCGGUACGGACUGGUACGAAUCUGUACGGACCUGUACGGAUCCGUACGGACCGAGGUCGACCAAGAAAUGUUCAGACUCAACAAUUGAAGGAGAUUGGGAGUUCGUGCAAAAAUAGGGCGAGGUACGGACAGGCAGUCCGUACCAUCGACCGUACUUGUUCUGGAUCAACCUGAAAUGAAGCUGUGCAAACUUAGGGCGCAAGAGAAGACAAACCUGAGUUAUCUUGUGACUGUUUGUGGAUAAGGGAGAGCUAGGGCGUGGUCAAUGACAGGCUGUCUUUGAGCUGUAAAGGAAAAGCAGCCUUGACCAUGUAUCUAGCCAUCUUUGUGAGCAAGGUUCAUGGGAGCCUUAAGGGAACCAAUCAGGAAGCAGCCCUUGCCUUGACCAGUUUGAAUUAACCAAUCAGGCACCAUCAUCUCCUAUCCAAUCACAAGACAUCACACAGAUUGCAAACUCACCACUCCACCCUAGCCAUCCAUUCUUCAAGUGAUUUAUCAGCCCUUAGAUUUAGGUUUAUGAUGUUUGUAACUUGUAAACCUUAUAUAAGGAGUGUAUGGACGAAAUUGUAUCUCUCUUAAGAGAGAGAGGGGGAUUUCCCCUCCUCCUUCAUAAUACAAAGUGUUUUCUUGGAUAAGAAUCCCUCAAACUACCCCUUUCUUAUACUUAAAUCUCUUAAUCUCUCUAAAUCUCUUGUUUCUGUCCAAGUUCAUACUGUUCAUCAGACCUUUCUCUCUUCAGUUGAAGCUCUCAUUUCGCCCUUAGUGGCUUCUUCUCACACACACAGCCUGAGCUCUGAAAACCUAACACAUAUUUUUACAAAUAUGAACACCAC
rnacentral:lncRNA from 1 species